AAUAGACUCCUUGCUCAGGAAAGGUGGUUUUAAGGCUCCAAUUACCAGUGAAUUCAGAAAAUCAAUCAAACUCACAAGGAAUAAUCACCUUGCAGUGGAGGAGUGAUUACAGUGGGAAAGAGAUGGCUCUGGGUAUCGAAGUGAGAAGGUGACAAUCAGUUAUGCAGAGUAUAUUGCUUCUCGACAGCACUGUUUCCAGAAUGGCACUCUUCAUGCCCCGCCCCUCUACAAUCAUUACUCCUGACACAAGGCUACAUGACCAGUCCCACCCCCCUGUGGCCACCAAUGGCUAUGACAUCAUUGGAGCAGAUGCCUCCUCUUCCUGGUCCAGUUACUUCUAUUACUGCACCAUUUUAUGAUGCUAGCUUCCGUUGCCAAGUCUGCCUCCUGCUGACUGGAGGGUGUGGGGAUACAUUGAAUGCAACAGAACAUGAGGGGCCCAAGC
rnacentral:lncRNA from 1 species